rnacentral:tRNA from 1 species
GGGUUGGGGCUCAGGGGUAGAGCACUUGCUUAGCAAGUGUGAGGCACUGGGUUUGAUUCUCAGCACCACA